AUCUGUCAUAACUUUUAUUCGAAUCUGUCUUUUUUUCAUUUGCUUUUGCUAAUUAAACAAUUUAAUUAGUGAAAUUAACGUACGCCAUCAAAAUUCAAAAAGUUUCGCAUGCGUACUGCUUGAGUUAUUUUCUUUAGAUUUUAUACAUCGAUUCAUAUAUAUCAUAUUUGACCUUGCUGUCGGCCACGCCCACUUCUGUAUGCUAUAUGUUUUUUAUUUGAUGAGUAUAUUCAACAGUUUUACAUUUAUUUAUCUAAGUGCGGCGAGGAAACACCCGACAAAAAGUAAGAGACUAAUUUUAAGCGAGAGUCGCUCGACAGUAUUUCGUCAGGUGUUUCCACAUCAUCGAAAAUCAGAUUAAUUUUUGGCACAAACUUUGACUAACGCUCUCUCUUUUGCUCUGCCGCUGCUCAGAUCUGCCCAGAUCAGCGUAUCAGUUGAUGCCCAACAGUCUUUUGAACGCGCGUCUAUAGUCCAAAUUGAAUAUCGUAUAGAUGACCGGAUUCAGGCCGGAGUUAAUGUAACCCAGCCAGGUGAUAAAGUUCUUGAACUUGUUUGUGGGACAGCAGCUCUGGCAGAAUGGCAAAAUCACGUACAUCAGAAAGAAGGGCAGCCAGCAGAUGACAAAGACGCCCAUGAUGAUGCCCAGGGUGCGGGCCGCCCGUCGCUCCUUCGACAGCGAGAUCUUCUGCUUCUCCUCGAUGAACUGAUUAACGGUGCUCGGCUUCUUCUGCAGCGCCGGGACAGCAGCUGCGCCCGUCGACGACGACUGUGGUGGUGUCAGCUUUAGCGAGGUUUGCUCCUCGGCCUGGGUCACGCAAACCUAAUUAAUUUUAUUCAAAUAUUUAUGGUGGGGUUAGAGUUCAUUCUUGACAUAAGUCAUGCCAACUAAUAUAAUAUUAUAGAUAUAUAUAUGUGA